CCAGCUGCAUUAUUUUUAUACGCAGGUAGUCAUAACUGGACUUUUGAAGGAUUCCGUGUGUGCUCUUCUUGGAAAAGCAGUGGCUGAGCGUGUGAUGAGCUUCUGGAUUUUAAGGCUAAAGAGGGCUGUGCAGUUCAUAGCAGAGAGAAAAUUACCUCUGUAUGAAGCAGGGGCUUGGUUAUGUCCCUGCGCUGCAGAACCUUGUGCUGCUUUGGCAAGGAAGGUGAAUUAACAUAAGGGAGAGGCAUGGCUGGUGCCUGCUUGGGGCUAUCAUGUGAUGCCUAAACUUGCACCUACGUAAGAAAACCUAAGCCUGCUGAAGAAAAUGCAGAGCUGGCACAGCAAGGUGGCUGCGUGUUCAGCUCAUGCAGCUGCUGGAAGGUGAGCCAGAAAGGCAUCUUCAGAGGAGUGGGAAUGAGGUGAUACCCUCUGGGAUGUGGGUUGUCUCUUCACAAUUCACUUGCAACACCCGUGUCCCAGCCUAGCUCCUCCAAAGCACUGCUGCCUUCCUCCUGAACACUUUCCACUUCAGACUGGUGCAAGCCUAGAUCCCAUUAUGCCUGUCACAGAAUCAUAGAAUCAUAGAAGGGCUUGGAUUGUGUUAGGUUGGGUUGGGUUGGAAGGGACCUCAAAGACCAUCUAGUUCCAACCCCCUGCCAUGGGCAGGGCUGCCACCCACCAGCUCAGCUGCCCAGGGCCCCGUCCAACCUGACCUUGAGCACCUCCAGGAAUGGAGAUGUCCCCAUCAGUCAAGGGACAAGGGGUGGCAAUGUCUGCAUUAAAGCCAUCUGGGGCUGAGGGCAGCCUUCACCACUGGCCCUGCAGAGAGCGCAUCAGCAGCACCGGGGCCAGACAAUGUAUUUUUCAUUCCAAUAUUUGUUCUGUUUUAUUAAAGCACUGACAGUAAAUACAUCAAUUAGGAAGAUACAGCAAGUGGGAAACACAAGCUGGGAUGGAGAGGUUUAACCAGCUAUAAAUAGUGGUCGGAUAAACAGUCAGCUGUGACUUACGGGCUGCAGCACGGCGCUCAGCACCUGUUACUAGGAGACUUCUUACCAGUUUGUUUGUUUGCUUUUAAAAGAAAAACUGUUUACAAUGAUAAAGCCCAGGCUGACAGAUUUUCCGCCUUCUGGGAAAACAUUACUGCCUAACCAUCACCUGCAGGUGUUUUUCCUGCCCGUUGUGCAGUAUUUACACUGCUGCUCACGCCAGAGCUAGGCAGCGCUUUGGGCAGCCUUAGGGACCAGGAGCUUCCCCGUGCUUCAGCCCUGGGCGAAACGAAUGUGCCACCAUUCUGAGCUCAGCACUUUGUGUCCAUCUCCCAGAGAAGCAGCCAGCCUGGACACAAAGGCAUAAGGAGCCCCAGGCUCCCCCCACUCCCUUCAAUGUGUGCCAGCACGCCCCAUGCAAUGUGUCUCAUUUCUUAUUUACAUUCACCUCGCUUUAAAUUGCGGUCCCUGCUGCUUGUUACGCCUCUUUCUGCUAGAUUAAAGAGCCCUAAAAUGUCGCCCUGGCAGCGUUAUCAACUGUCCUCUGCUAUUAUUGCCUUGCAGUAAAUAAAAGGCACUUUCCAGUCAUUAUUUUAUACCCCACAAUCGCAUUGCUUUUCCAGAUAAUUAGUUUUCACUCCUCUUAUCUGUAUUCAAGCCUCACCUCCCUUUCAGUGCUUCCAUUGCCUGCUCGGGGACCUCUCCUGUCUCUCCUGUGACCUCUGGGAGAGGAGCAGAGAGGUAUCCAGGGGGGCUCAGGGAGAGGACAUCUGAUCUGCUUGUGGCCCUGUCAACCUGGUGCUGAGCACGGCCGCUGCCUUUGUGCACACCUGAUCAUGCCACUGAGCACCUGGGAAGAGGAGGUGAUGGCUUGCUGACCUGCAAAGCUGCCCCCAUUUUGGCACAGUCGGCUUGCACAAGACCUGUCAGUCUGUAUGACAUAGCAGCUAUCUGUCGGAGCUUUCGUCUCCCAGUUUGCCCAACUGCCUUUCAAUAGGAUUCUGUAUAUGAAAAUGAUUUUAUGCUAUGCACUGUUCCCUUCUGUCAUGGAGUACAUAAAAAUACUAUGGCAAAACACAUUCUCAUCAAGCUUUCUGGGGAAAAGAUAAGUGCAACAGCUAACUCAAGUGAAGGUGCUCAUUGGACUCUCCCUCUCUUUUCUAAAUUGCUGGGUUUUUUUCUUUUUGGCAAGAACCCAUCUGAGUCCCCGGUUGCUGUUUGAUAAUACAUUGGAAGCAGGAAUUAAUCUUCAGGAGGUCAGCCCAACUUCCUAUUCCAAUUUAAGAAAAUUUUAAAAUCUAAGCUAUCAAGUGUGCAUAGUUAAAAGUACAUCAGGAGCCACUGAAGGCCACUUUGGAUGACGUACUGCCAAAAUGCCCUUUAAGGGCUGCUAGGAAACUAUGUUUAGCUUUCAGAUGUAGAGUUUGAAGCUGCUGGUAUGCCUUUACAACAUAGUGGCAGCAGCACUCUUCCCAGAAUAUCCUCGCCACACCAUAUUAGAAAUGGAGAUUUACUAUUUCACUUUGUUUCCUAGCUACCAACAUUUUUUUUUAGUUUAGUAGUAGAGAUGAGCAGUGAAAUCUGGCAUUCAGGCUGUGACUUCAUCAAAUCCUUUCACAAAUCUCAUACUACAUCUAUAUAUAUAUGUAUGUAUAUCGGUAGCAAUUGUAGAUUUUCUCAGGCAGUCUUUCCAGAAAUGUUUCAGUUAUUCACUUUUAUCCUGGAUGCUCACCCAUUCCUGCCCCACACCCCUUCCCCAAAGCCCCCAUCUGCUAUGGGAGCACUCUCUCUCCUCUCCUCUCCUCUCCCCCUUCCCAGCUCUACCAGUCCCUUUACAUUCAUCACAUUAAAGAAAACAUUUCAUGGUCAUCUCUUUUAUCUCCUUCAGUGAGCAGUUAAUCAGAAAAAAUGCUUUCAUGUUGCUAAAUCAGGGCCAGUGGGCAAAGCCAGGCUGACAAGAGACAUUUUCCUCUGCCACUAACCUGGGCUAAAUAGUAUUAAUUACAGAGGCUGGGCUUUGAUUGCUGGAGUGUGGUGGGGCUGCAAGAACUUUCUGCUGCCCCUCCACCUAGGCCCUUGCUGCAUAUCUCCACUGACACUGGGAAGGAAUCGAUGAGAGCUGGACGUGGCUGAAAGGCAUCAUUUGGACCCGGAGCUGUGCCCCUCUCUGGGCUGGCAGCCACAUCCCCCAAGUGAGAGUCACCUCCCAUCAAACACCAGCAAGCAGCUGGUUGUGUAUAUCAAAAUGUGGUGGAUGCCCUGUUCCUGGAGACACUCAAGGUCAGGCUGGACGGGGCUCUGAGAACCCUGAUGUCGCUGUAGGUGUCCCUGUUCAUUGCAGGGGAGUUGGACCAGCUGUCCUCCAAGGUCUUUUUCAACUCAAAUGACUCCAUGAGUGUGUGAUUCUAUGAAAACAGGCCAAAGAUCCAGAUGCAUGAAUCACCCUGAGCUCUCCACUGCAUGGCUGCAACAUGGCUGCUUUUUGGACUCUGACCACCACUGACCGCUUUCCCUGCUCUACUCCCAGCUCAGCAGAGGUUUAUGAAAGAGACAACAGGAGGAAUGUGCAUGGUGGUCAGAGAUCUUCCCUUGGGAGGGGUGGCACAGAGCAGGGCUGGAGUCCAGCCACGGUUUAAGCCAGUUGAGGUGGCCAUCCCUUGUGACUGUGGUGAUGCGCUCUGCGGCCAUGCAGCUGGUGGGCAGCAUGGCAAGCACAGCGCUCUGGGCAGCUCCAGGCUCCCUACAAAAUCUGGCCAGACCAACAUUGUGAAAUGCUUUUUUCUUUGUUUUGACUGCUUAGUGCUGUGUAUCAAGGCCUGCUGCUCCCAGUGUGAGUAUAGCUGCAUUUCUACCACAUAAAUACUGUUGGUAUGAACUCAACUCCGUGCCCUGUGCAAGUCCAAGUCAUUUCUUCUCACUCCAUGGUAUUGCAGAUCCCAGGUCCUUCUUUUUCCUCUAUGCUGCAGGUUUCCAUAGCUCAUCCUGCCCUUCAAGGUGAUAGUUUAUUCUACCCUGCACAUGCACAGACUGAAGCAGCAGCAGUAGUUCAGCUCUAUUUUUUCCCAGUCUACUUCUCCUAUGUGCUCUUCUCAAGGAGGCAUGGACCCGCUCUUCCCAAACACCAGCCAGAUGCUGGGUUCUCCAUUGAGCACAGCCUCAGAAGGCCGCCUGCAUGACCUGACGGCUUAGCUCCAUUUGAAGAACUGGGAAACCACACAGAGUGGUCAGGGCCAAGCAACCAAAGACAGCAAAACCUUCUUCUAUCAGUAGUUUUCACAGACAAGAUGCUUAAGGCAGGUCUAAUUGCAGUUCUUUGUGAAUGGGGCCCUUGGGACUAUCUGGACCUCUAGGGCAGAAGUCUCAAUUUGGGUUCGAGUCAAGACUUGUCCAUAGUUGCAUCUACCUUCAAAUUAAAGUGCAGCACUUGUGGGAAGAAAGAAGUAAGUAACAGAACCAGCCCCCAUUCUGUUAUUUUUGAUACUCAGCUGUAUUUCCCACUGGCAGCGGUGUAUUUACAGGAGGCUGCAGUUGCAUGUGUUGUCCUGGAAGGGCUGUUGGGGAGGCACAAAUUGGCAGCCUGAUGGCUAGGAGAGAGCAAGUGUCAAGCAGGGCAGUAAAGAGCCUAGGGGGUGAGCAUGUUCUCUGGCUGAAAGUUGCAGCCAACAUCCAACAGUGAAGAAAACUAAGGUUUGAGUUGCCAUUGAGUUUAGAGUUAAUGGCCUAUUGAUAGGAAUGACAGUUCAGAGCCUGUUGUUGCAGCAUACUUCAGGCCACAAACAAUGCAGUUGCAUCUUUCUGUAGAAGCUUCAAAUAUUUAGGACUUUCCUCAUUCCCAGAGAGAUGUAUUUUUGUUUCUUUUUUCUUUCUCUUUUUCUUUUUUAUAGUGAAAAUAUAGAUGAUAAGAGCGGCCAGCCUGGCUCAAAUGAAGCCUCUAUCUAGCCCAGCAUUUUGUGGAGGCUGCUCUUAGUUGCUGUGUGAGAAAGGCAAGAAGCUCCUCAGCAGUGGGACAGUGUGCCUGCCAAAAGAGUUCCUCCCUUAGAAAUUGUCUCUCUUGCUUAGAAGUUGUCUUCUGCCUUGAGGCAGGAUCGUUUAUGUCCAAAGCUACUUGAUUUGACUUUGUUCUUUCUUUGUUUUCAGUUCUUCAGGCUGUCAGUGUGAAUAAUAGAUCUUUGGUUCUGGAAUACAAUUCUCUAACAAAUAUCGGCUACUGUGGUAAAUUCUGGGGCUGCUGAGCUGCGGAAUAAAUCUUACCUCCAUUGAGUUUGAGGAUGGUGCCUUUGGAGAAGGUAGGGUGUGCUGGUACAGCACCUUCCUGUGGGUUCUCAGGUGGUAAUUCCUCCUUGAAAUUCUGCAUGUGCAGGACCAGACCAUCUUUCAGCCUGAGCAAUGAGCCUGAACUUCUCAUAAGCUCCACAUUUGGGAUUCUGCUGCCACUUGGUGGCAUCCACUCUCUCUUCCUGGCCCCAGGAAUCCCUCCUUGGCUUCCAAAGGGUAGCACUUGUGAGAAGAGAACAUCUGAGUUCUGCAGUGUAACUGCCCUCCAAGUUCCCAGGACCCAUUCUGGAACCACGAGGAGCUUUUCCAAGAUCAUCAUUUCCCGUUUGGAUCUACACAAAAGCAUCGCAGAUGCUGGCAAGAAUUCUGAGAGGAUCUCAGGUGCUUUAUGGGCAAUUUGUAAAUGAAAGAGUUUUACCAAAUCUGGCAACAGUGGAAGUAUUUUCACAAAGCAGACCAAGGUCUGUGUCUGUCUGCUUGUAACUCUGCUCUGCGGCGCUUGCAGUCUCAAGAGCAGGACCAGGUGGGAGAAGAAACUAUCUAGAUCGUUCCUCUUCUUCACAGAGACUGAAAAGCACAGUUGUCACAAGAGCUGGCGGCAAGCUAGACCUGCUUUGAACAUACUGUGAUCUAGUGAGCUGCGAGGUUUCCACACUGCAUUUCACUUCCUGAGGCCACGGGUUGCUUUGCCCUGGGUCAGCAGCCACAAGCUGCUCAGACAGGAUGGGAGGUGGCACGCUGUGUAGCAAACCCAGGGGAAUUGCUCCAGGUCCACCUUUCCUUUGAAGGCUGGGAGGCAGCAUGCUGUUCCCACCAUGCUGCGGAUGGCAGCAGCAGUGAGCAGGCUCAUGUGGCUGGGAAACAAGAGCUAUCCAGCACAGGGCAAAGCAAUGGGCCUGCUGAGCAGGUGACCUAAGUUGGGACACAUGCUUUGCAAAGGACUUCAGGGAACCUGGCCCAAACCAACAGUGAUCCUGCAGAUGAAACAACUGAUGUCUAAAGUUGACAGCAUUCCUACUCUCUUCCAUGUCAAGACAAAGUUGAAAUCCACCCAUCUCCUGCAAAGAUGGCGAGUUACCAAGGACCUUCUGCCCAUCCCAUCCUGGUCCCCUGCCAGGUGGCAAGAGCUGCACCUCUUUCCUCUUUGAGCUUCAUUCUGCUGCAGUUCUCCAGCAGCCAGAGUAAAGCAGGGCAGCACACUACGCUCUGCCUGGGGAGAGCAACACAAGAUGGGCACAGUGGCAUCAGGAGCAGCAAAGCAUGAGAAUAAGUACAACAAGGGGUGAUCUUUGAGGAGGGCGAGGGGUUGUCCAAAAGCAGAACAGGGAGAGGAAAAUGGGAUAAGGGUGUUGUGGGCAACAUAUAUUAGAAAAUUCUGUACCGUGGUGCAACUCUAUGUUGGCAGGACACUGCUGCCCAGAGGCACUUCAUACUCAGGCUUGCAGAGCAAGGAUUCAAGUCAGCAUCACUGCAGCAGGCUAAGAGGACGUCUUCAUGACACACACCAGAGCUGUCCCUUCUCCAACUGUUCCUCAGCUCCUUAGCUGUAGGGGAG
ensembl:lncRNA